ACCAUUUUGUCUGGUUAGAAGCAGCUAUAUGUAUCACACUUUUGCUCCAAGGUAGAUCGUUCCACCCAUCAACAUUACCAUCGUAGUGGAACAACAUAACUGUAAAAUUCUCUGGAAGAAACUGAACAUUCAAGAAACCAACAAAUAUAUUGUACUGAGCAACACACUGUAUACAAGAAUAGGCUUGGUUUUCAAAUUACCUUUGAUUGCGCACUUCUUGUGAGCCAUAAUGGCUUCAACUCCAUGUCAGAGUAAGGUUCCACUAUACCAUGGGGUAAAAAACCAACCCUAUUGGCAGAUCUUUUAGACACCUUAGAAGACACUUUGUCAGUCAUAUCUGUCAAGCAAACUACAGGGAGACAUUUCGUAGAUGAGUGUUACCUUUGUCUGUUUAUGUUGGUAACUCGCCAUGUUAUAAACCAGAAAUAAAAUGAUCAAGCAAAGAAUCAGCAGAUGCAACCGCAGUCUCAUCUUAGAACAGCUAUCUCUCCCGCUACCAUUCU
rnacentral:sRNA from 1 species